rnacentral:rRNA from 1 species
AGCGAACGCUGGCGGCAGGCCUAACACAUGCAAGUCGAACGGACCCUUCGGGGUUAGUGGCGGACGGGUGAGUAACACGUGGGAACGUGCCUUUAGGUUCGGAAUAGCUCCUGGAAACGGGUGGUAAUGCCGAAUGUGCCCUUCGGGGGAAAGAUUUAUCACCUUUAGAGCGGCCCGCGUCUGAUUAGCUAGUUGGUGGUGUAACGGACCACCAAGGCGACGAUCAGUAGCUGGUCUGAGAGGAUGAUCAGCCACAUUGGGACUGAGACACGGCCCAAACUCCUACGGGAGGUAGCAGUGGGGAAUCUUGCGCAAUGGGCGAAAGCCUGACGCAGCCAUGCCGCGUGAAUGAUGAAGGUCUUAGGAUUGUAAAAUUCUUUCACCGGGGACGAUAAUGACGGUACCCGGAGAAGAAGCCCCGGCUAACUUCGUGCCAGCCGCCGCAGUAAAAC